UGACCUCACAGCCAUCCUUCCCACCGCCAGGCCCAGGAGGUUGGGGGAGACUAACCUGGCAAGGAGCCCCCAAUGAGCCACCUCUCCUCACCCCCCAAAAAACAUAAGGGGGAGCGCAAAGGCCACAGUCUCCCCCAUGGUUCAGAAAGGGGUAGCUCCUCCCGGGACAAGGACCGAAGUGCGACGGUCAGUAGUUCAGUGCCCAUGCCUGCUGGAGGGAAGGGAAGCCAUCCUUCAUCUACACCCCAGAGGGUCCCCAACCGCCUGAUCCACGAGAAGUCACCAUACCUCCUACAACAUGCCUACAAUCCUGUGGACUGGUACCCCUGGGGACAGGAAGCCUUCGACAAGGCCAGGAAGGAAAACAAGCCGAUUUUCCUCUCAGUCGGGUACUCCACCUGCCACUGGUGCCACAUGAUGGAAGAGGAGUCCUUCCAGAAUGAGGAGAUCGGCCGCCUGCUCAGUGAGGACUUUGUGAGUGUGAAGGUAGACCGUGAGGAGCGGCCUGACGUGGACAAGGUGUACAUGAUGUUCGUGCAGGUGAGCAGCCCUCCUCGGGAGUGUAUGCGCCACAUGGGCUCAGAGCAGCUCCCCUCACCCUCGCCCUCUCUCCGCCAGGCCACCAGCAGCGGCGGGGGCUGGCCCAUGAAUGUGUGGCUGACUCCCAACCUCCAGCCCUUUGUCGGGGGCACCUAUUUCCCUCCUGAGGAUGGCUUGACCCGAGUCGGCUUCCGCACAGUGUUGCUGAGAAUACGAGAACAGUGGAAACAGAACAAGAACACCCUGCUAGAAAAUAGCCAGCGUGUCACCACUGCCCUGCUGGCCCGAUCAGAGAUCAGCGUGGGUGACCGCCAGCUGCCGCCCUCUGCCGCCACCGUGAACAAUCGCUGCUUCCAGCAGCUGGACGAGGGCUAUGAUGAGGAAUACGGUGGCUUCGCUGAGGCCCCCAAGUUUCCCACGCCGGUGAUCCUGAGCUUCCUGUUCUCCUACUGGCUCAGCCAUCGACUGACUCAGGAUGGCUCUCGGGCCCAGCAGAUGGCCUUGCAUACCCUGAAAAUGAUGGCUAACGGGGGCAUCCGGGACCAUGUGGGGCAGGGCUUUCACCGCUACUCCACAGACCGCCAGUGGCACGUCCCUCACUUUGAGAAGAUGCUCUAUGACCAGGCACAGCUCGCUGUGGCCUAUUCGCAGGCCUUCCAGCUCUCUGGUGAUGAAUUCUACUCUGACGUGGCCAAAGGCAUCCUGCAGUAUGUGGCUCGGAGCCUGAGCCACCGGUCCGGAGGCUUCUAUAGCGCAGAGGAUGCAGACUCGCCCCCAGAGCGGGGCCUGCGGCCCAAAGAGGGCGCCUACUAUGUGUGGACGGUCAAAGAGGUUCAGCAGCUCCUCCCGGAGCCUGUGUUGGGUGCCACUGAGCCGCUGACCUCAGGCCAGCUCCUCAUGAAGCACUACGGCCUCACAGAGGCUGGUAACAUCAGCCCCAGUCAGGUGAGGACUUCUGGGGUCACCUGACGGGCCCUGGUGCCUGCCAGGCAUGUGAGCUCGCAGACAAAGGCCAUUCUCCUCAGGACCCCAAGGGGGAGCUGCAGGGCCAGAAUGUGCUGACCGUCCGGUACUCGCUGGAGCUGACUGCUGCCCGCUUUGGCUUGGAUGUGGAGGCCGUGCGGACCUUGCUCAAUACAGGGCUGGAGAAGCUCUUCCAGGCCCGGAAGCAUCGGCCCAAGCCGCACCUGGACAGCAAGAUGCUGGCUGCCUGGAAUGGUGGGGCAGCACACCUGAGACCGAGCCUGUCUGGAGGAUCCCCCUUCACAAAGCCCCUGUCUUUCCGGCACCUGCUAAAUGCUCACUCUCCCUUGAUUAGCGUUAUUAUUCUCAGUUGACAAAAGAGGCUUAAGGAGCUUGAGUAACCCGCCCAAGGUCACGCGCAAGGGCUGGGAACCCCGCCAUGUCUGGCUUUGGAGCCCAAGAUCUUAGGGAUCACCCAUGGCUCCAGGGAGGUGUUGGGGCCUAAGGUGAUAGGGUGGACAUGCCUGGAGGGUCCUGGCCAGCUUCUUACCACUACUUGUCUCUCCUGGCUCCAGGCUUGAUGGUGUCAGGCUAUGCUGUGACUGGGGCUGUCCUGGGCCAAGACAGGCUGAUCAACUAUGCCACCAAUGGUGCCAAGUUCCUGAAGCGGCACAUGUUUGAUGUGGCCAGUGGCCGCCUGAUGCGGACCUGCUACACCGGCCCUGGGGGGACUGUGGAGCACAGGUUGGGGGCUGGGUAGACCGGGAGGGCUCGUCUCCCCCACGCGUCCCCAGCCUACCUCUGCCCUACUUCUCCCCUCCAUGUGGACUCCAGUCCUGGCUCUGCCAGGUGCUUGCUGUGAGUUUGUAGCCUCCCUGGGCCCAUUUACUCAUCUGGGAAGUGGGCUGAUGGCACCUGCCCAAGAGGGUUCAUCUGGAGGGUUAAGUGAACAAAUGGGUGAAAGGGCCUCCUCUGGGAAAGGCCCUCUCUCCUGGGGCUUUCCCCAGCCCCUCCCCUAAUGCCUGUCCACCAGCAACCCCCCCUGCUGGGGCUUCCUGGAGGACUACGCCUUCGUGGUGCGGGGCCUGCUGGACCUGUAUGAGGCCUCACAGGAGAGUGCGUGGCUCGAGUGGGCUCUGCGGCUGCAGGACACACAGGACAGGCUCUUUUGGGACUCCCAGGGUGGCGGCUACUUCUGCAGUGAGGCUGAGCUGGGGGCUGGCCUGCCCCUGCGUCUGAAGGACGACCAGGAUGGAGCAGAGCCCAGCGCCAAUUCCGUGUCAGCCCACAACCUGCUCCGGCUGCAUGGCUUCACGGGCCACAAGGACUGGAUGGACAAGUGUGUGUGCCUAUUGACCGCCUUUUCCGAGCGCAUGCGCCGUGUCCCGGUGGCGUUGCCCGAGAUGGUCCGCGCCCUCUCAGCCCAGCAGCAGACCCUCAAGCAGAUCGUGAUCUGUGGAGACCGUCAGGCCAAGGACACCAAGGCCCUGGUGCAGUGCGUCCACUCUGUCUACAUUCCUAACAAGGUGCUGAUUCUGGCUGAUGGGGACCCCUCGAGCUUCCUGUCCCGCCAGCUGCCUUUCCUGAGUACCCUCCGACGGUUGGAAGACCAGGCCACUGCAUAUGUGUGUGAGAAUCAAGCCUGCUCAAUGCCCAUCACUGAUCCCUGCGAAUUACGAAAACUACUACAUCCAUGACUGCCCCAACCCCCUUGGGGUGGGGCAGAAGGUGAAGCAUCCCAACUGACUAGAGACUCAGGCCCUGCAGGGCCCUAUAGAACCUGUGGCCAUCCCUGAGCACCCUGCCACCAGGUGACCUCGGCCAUACUCACUGCCCCCCUUGGGCACCCACUCACCCUAGAAUAAACUUAACAGUGUCCCGUGGUAA
rnacentral:sRNA from 1 species